GUUAAGCGACUAAGCGUACACGGUGGAUGCCCUGGCAGUCAGAGGCGAUGAAGGACGUGCUAAUCUGCGAUAAGCGUCGGUAAGGUGAUAUGAACCGUUAUAACCGGCGAUUUCCGAAUGGGGAAACCCAGUGUGUUUCGACACACUAUCAUUAACUGAAUCCAUAGGUUAAUGAGGCGAACCGGGGGAACUGAAACAUCUAAGUACCCCGAGGAAAAGAAAUCAACCGAGAUUCCCCCAGUAGCGGCGAGCGAACGGGGAGCAGCCCAGAGCCUGAAUCAGUAUGUGUGUUAGUGGAAGCGUCUGGAAAGGCGCGCGAUACAGGGUGACAGCCCCGUACACAAAAAUGCACAUGCUGUGAGCUCGAUGAGUAGGGCGGGACACGUGGUAUCCUGUCUGAAUAUGGGGGGACCAUCCUCCAAGGCUAAAUACUCCUGACUGACCGAUAGUGAACCAGUACCGUGAGGGAAAGGCGAAAAGAACCCCGGCGAGGGGAGUGAAAAAGAACCUGAAACCGUGUACGUACAAGCAGUGGGAGCACGCUUAGGCGUGUGACUGCGUACCUUUUGUAUAAUGGGUCAGCGACUUAUAUUCUGUAGCAAGGUUAACCGAAUAGGGGAGCCGAAGGGAAACCGAGUCUUAACUGGGCGUUAAGUUGCAGGGUAUAGACCCG
rnacentral:rRNA from 1 species